GUGAGAUGGUCUACACCUGGUUUCAUCAUUGGUACACCUGUGUCUUACCACGAUCUUUGUGUCCCGUCCAAUCAUCUCUCUCCGUCCAUCCGUGCCUGGUCAAGCCCUCAUGUGUAUAGAACCUUGCCUGGAAUGAACCAAUCCGUCACGGUGGGGUCGCAUUUUACUGCGUGGAUCGUUCUCCCAGGAUGCUGACGGAACUCCGAAGGCAAGGUGCAGGUGUGUUGACGCCAGUCUCUGAGGGGAGUCGACGUCAGCUGCGUGGAUGGCGCCAGCUCAGCUGAUCUCCGGUAGGAGGCGACUUUUUACCACAAUUUUCUCACCGAAACCUGAUGGUUGACAAGUGGUCGGGAACCAUGUUCGCUUGACCACUCUGAUCCAUAG